rnacentral:tRNA from 1 species
GGUGGUGCAAAUGAUUAAGUUGCUCAGUUGCUAACUGAAAGGUUGGAGGUUCAAAUCCACCCACAGCCA